AACCUCUGAGAUGCGAUGAUAUUAUCUCAUAUAUUCUUGCUGGCUUAGGGCAUGAAUAUGACAGCCUUGUCUCCUCCAUUUAUGCCCGAACUGACUCAGUCACCAUUGAGGAGGUAUAUUCUCUAUUGUUACAGA
rnacentral:snoRNA from 1 species